UUGUCUCUGGGGCUUGUUUUCCGUUGCCUGCGUUUUUUUCCAGUGACUCAGGCAGCGAAAGCAAGUCUGGGAGGCUG
rnacentral:pre_miRNA from 1 species